rnacentral:hammerhead_ribozyme from 1 species
AUGCAGCUGACGAAUCCCAAAUAGGACAAAACGCGCUUCUAACUGUAU